CCUGUAAGUCUAUUUUCAACCAUUUCGUGUCGAGUACAGCUUGUGGCCGAAGGGGUGAACAGGUCUUACUUUUGCCAGACAUAUCUAUAAAUUUGAUGCAAAAUAUCGCCGUUAAAACGGUAAUUUUGUGCUAUGUUUACACAGUAGAACUUCCAAAACCAAGCAAGGUGUUGCUCCACAUAAUUUAUCUUCGAAUUUAUCACAUAUUUAACCAGAAAAACAGAAAAAUAAAACGUAAACUGUAAGCUUUCAACUGAA